rnacentral:lncRNA from 1 species
CAACUUGUGGUGAGCCGUCCAGUGGACAAGGGUGGGUAGGUUGGUGGACUGGCUUCCUUGUGGACUCUUGGCCCCUUCCCUCCAUACCACCCCAACCUCAGACUCCUCCCUCCUACCCCAGGACCUGGCGAGCACAAAGCCUGGCACCUCGUCUGCUCCAUUCACGAUCAAUGCACAUCAGAGUGACAUAGCCUGUGUGUCUCUAAACCAGCCAGGCACUGUAGUGGCCUCAGCCUCCCAGAAGGGUACCCUUAUUCGCCUCUUUGACACACAAUCCAAGGAGAAACUGGUGGAGCUGCGCCGAGGCACUGACCCUGCCACCCUCUACUGCAUUAACUUCAGCCACGACUCCUCCUUCCUCUGCGCUUCCAGUGAUAAGGGUACUGUCCAUAUCUUUGCUCUCAAGGAUACCCGCCUCAACCGCCGCUCCGCGUGAG